CAGAGAACAUCGCCCUCACGGGUGACUCUCCAACCCUAUGUUAUUAAACCUUUGUUGCUUUGGCGAGCCGCUUCGGCCACCGGCGUCUGCUGGUGUGCGCUCGCCAGAGGACCUCAAACUCUGUUUAUUAGUGUCGUCUGAGUACUAUAUAAUAGUUUA
rnacentral:misc_RNA from 1 species